UGGAAAUCUGUCUGGGUCACUGGCUCAGACAUACUCAAGCUCUUCCUUUGUCAGUCAGUCAGAGAACCAGUUUGUGCAUCAACCUCUGGUGAAGAACACCACCACAGCUAAAACUAGAGAUGCAUCCCAUAUUGAUCGGCAUAAUGACUGCCAACACAUCUCUAACCAUUGUCUACUGGAACUUUCUUUUGUCUCAGGCUUUCGGCAAGAAGAUUGAGGAUGCACCCAAACUAGAGGAAGUUCCUGUUUGAAUCCUUGGUCCUGACCCUGAUGAUGAAGAGAAAGAAGAACCAAACAGAGGGAUGAGGGAGAGAAAACACAAACAAAGGAGGUACAUACUGACUCCGGAAGAGGACCGGAAGGGAAUUCUGCCAGGAUUUAGACCUUCUGUGUUGUUCCAAAACACAUUUUAUGAUCAUGAAGUUUAUCUCUUAAAAAUCUCUUCUCUCCCUCUCCAUUCCUCUGUCUCCAGCCCCAAAUCUUCUGCUUAAGCUCUCCCCAAUUUCCAGAAAUUAAACUAUCUGGCCAUUUUGUCAUCUUUCUUCAUCAGCUAAUUUCGGCCUGAUGUAAUUUUACCCCCCCCCCAUUCUUUUGUUUUUGUAAAACAUUCUAACAAUGUUUUUCUAUUGUAAAAGUUCUUAUUGCAGAUAUACUUAAAAAAUAGCUGUGUAUGCACUCACUUAGUGAGUAUCUGUCAGUCUUCUGACUCUUCUGCAUGUAUCUGAUUGCCUCAAUAAUAAAUGAAUAAAGUAUAGAAGGUACUGGGUUGUUUACAUGGUAAUCGGGAUCCUGUACUCUCUGAACUCAUUAGCAUGAUUAGCAUGCAUUGACUCCUGUAAAGCACUCAAUGUAGACAGAGGACAUGCAUUUUGUUGUCUUUGUCAGUGAAAGCUGAAACCUACUUGAUUUUACAAGCCAUUUGUACAUCCUGGACCGUGAUCCAUAUGGUAACAUUUCUGAAACCCUUUUCCUUUAAAAUCAAACAUUUCAAGGGGUGUUUGAUUUAGCAUAGAUGUCUUUAGUAAUGACAAUGGGUCAUUUUCUAAAAGAUAUCUGAAUUGUCUAAACAAAAACUGGCCCAUACACAUGCUGACACAGUUGAUAUAUGUUGUCAUUGAUGUCACUGGCUCCAUUGUACUUCAGAGUGCAACAGCAGGUGUUAAGACGUAGACAACUAGUAGAAAAAACGAAAUACAGGCUCAAGCCUUCUUAUGCCACUAAGCACAUUAGCUUGAUUGUCUUCUGUUGUUUAAGUACUUCGGGUUUGAGGAAGUCUCGUCAUCUGACUUAGCAUUUUGUGGUGUCCUUUGUUGUGAUUUUGUGAAUAUGCAACAGUAAUGAAAACAACUGAGGAGCAAUUGAUAUCAGCAAGAGAGCCAGAAUGAGGGUGAGCGAGGAAUUAAGUUGGAGGGCGACAGGUGUCUGUAAAUGAGGAGAACAAUAAAGCUUUACGAAUGGAAUAAUAUGGAAACUAACAAGCUAUCGUGAAGUUGAAAAAGACAAUACUUAUGGAUUUUGACGAAAACAACAAAAAUCCCCUUAAUGAGGAUGUGUUUUUCAAGGACUAUAAACCCCCGGAAAAAAAUCUGAUUACUCUACCCAAGCAUGUCAUCUAUCUGCUGCUGGCUGUGGGAGUGACACUGAUCACUCUGUUUGCCAUCAUAAGACACCUCAUCAAAGAUCUCAUCCAUGAUCUUGCAGAUUUCCUGUUUGGAGAGCAGCCUGUGGAAGAGGAUGUAAAUCCCUGGGAAAGGCGAGAUAAGUUCAGGGUAAAUUGGAUUCCAGACACCAGCACUGAACUGGAGGCCAUGAUGAAAGAUGAAAAAAUCGAAGUACUCAUGGAGGACACAGAAGACAUGCCAGCAAUCUGGGUUAUAUCAGAUGGGUGUAAGCUGUCCGCCCUAUCCUCCCGUCCCAGAUUUAAUAGCAUCAACUAGAUUACAAUAUACUUGAAAUAAAUACAAGUUAAAUUUCAGCAUUUCUGCUCUGCAAAAUCAAACUUAUGUGAGUAUCAAAGUGUUUCUGGGUAUUUUAUUUUAUUGUAUUAAAUCUCUCUUAUAAUGAACACCAAAAAAAAAAAAAACAUUGUUUGACCAAUAUACAGUUCAUAUAGCUAACACCUACAAAAUUUUAGGUUCUGAGUAAACAGGAAAGCCAGUGUAAUUUUAUGUAAUGUAAUGUUGUUGUU